AGUGAACGCUGGCGGCGUGCCUAAUACAUGCAAGUCGAACGGAGAUUAAGUAGCUUGCUAUUUAAUCUUAGUGGCGCACGGGUGAGUAAUAUAUAGCUAACUUGCCCAUUACUAAGGGACAACAGUUGGAAACGACUGCUAAUACCUUAUACUCCGUAUCUAUACAAGUAGGUACGGGAAAGUUUUUCGGUAAUGGAUAGGGCUAUAUCGUAUCAGCUAGUUGGUAAGGUAACGGCUUACCAAGGCUAUGACGCGUAACUGGUCUGAGAGGAUGAUCAGUCACACUGGAACUGAGACACGGUCCAGACUCCUACGGGAGGCAGCAGUAGGGAAUAUUGCUCAAUGGGGGAAACCCUGAAGCAGCAACGCCGCGUGGAGGAUGACACUUUUCGGAGCGUAAACUCCUUUUCUUGGGAAAGAAUUAUGACGGUACCCAAGGAAUAAGCC
rnacentral:rRNA from 1 species